UUACGUGUGAUAAUUUGAUUAUGCCUUUUCAAGUUUGAUAUGACAGUUAGUUAUUCUUAGAACGUAAUUAGGGCCCUCUUCUUGAAGUCAGUACUUUUCAAGUUUGAUAUUAGAGGUUAUCGACGAGAGUUAGUUCUUCUAGUGUUGUACAGGUGUUUUAGGGUGCUACAUUGGGUGCUUUGCUUGGGGGGUUGGUUGGUUUUAUAUUGUUAAUUAUAGGCUUCAGAGAAGAUUUCCAGUAGCAACUCCCGGAAUGUAAGACUCAGGCAUUAGUUGUGCCUUUGAAGGUGAAUCUAUUUCGACAAUCAUAUAUGUAAACUUCCAUUCCUUUUAUGUUUGCUCGAUAUGUAUGUAAUAUUUUAAGACACAAAUGUAGAGUUAAUUGAGAUGUACUUGAUUGGAGAAUCUGGAUAUUGACAAGUAGUGUUGAUUUUGAGUUUUACAGCGAGACUAUACUCUAAAGUUGAUGCGCACUAGCUGAUAAUAAUGUUUGGAAAUAAAUGAGUACUCCUUUAUACUGGAGUUGAAGCCCAUGUUAUAAGAAAAUAAAUAAAUGGAUUGAUAUAAUCAACCCGGAACAUUUACAAAGCUUUAUAAUAUUGUAAGACAAGAUAACUCUUUAUAGUAACAGGGUUUAAAAGGCAUAACUCACCUUCGCGUUGUGUCUCUGUCUUCAUCUCGGCUAGAGCUUCGUAGCUUCGCCCUCUGUCUCUGUCUCCAUCUCGGCAAGGGCUUCGUAGCUUCACAUACAAUACAAGGAGGUAAUCACUUAUUGGUUCAGAUACACUUGUCAGAUGCUCGAAUAAUUACCUGUGAUAAUUUGAUAAUUACCUAUGAUAAUAUGUUCAGUAUCUUAAUUAGAUAGUGGCAUAAAAAAAUCUAUGCUUUUAGGAACAAGAGAGGUGUAUAUACGGCGGGAAUAUACACAAAAUACUGAACAGAAGACCCAAGACACAAAAUACAGGGACAAGAGGAGAGUCUUCUGGCCACUAUCAAAUUUCAUGUUGUGUUGUUCUUUAGGUAUAUAUGAUUUUAUGUCUGACAUGGAGGUCCAAAGCUAACAUAAUAUUCGCAAAUGAGCAGACUUUCAUUGUGCUAUGACUGGAGAAUUUGGCAAUAGUUAUGUAUUCUGGGAGCUCUGCAAAGGUGCUUAGAAUAACAAUUAGUUGUUGGGUCGCUACUGCUACAAGGCAGCAUUGUUGGUCAUGUUAAUAUGCUGCUUUAUUCUUCUUGCUAGACGCAAGUUAAGAGUGGCUAUUCUGGGAGCUCUGCAAAGGUGCUUGGAAUAACAAUUAGUUGUUGGGUCGCUACUGCUACAAGGCAGCAUUGUUGGUUAUGUUAAUCUGCUGCUUUAUUCUUCUUGCUAGACGCCUGCUACCUAUCCAGGUUCAUAAUCCCGGUCCCCUGGAAUUGAUUAUUUAUCUGGAUUCAUAUCUUAGAGUUGACUAUUUAUUGUUAUUUCAUUCUUGCUGCCAAUCACAAGCUUGAGAGUCACUCUUACCUAUCUGAAUUCCCAAAGUAAUGUGCUAGAAGCUACAAGGCACAAAAAGAUAUGAUUUUCUAGAACUAGCAGAUUACAGUUGAUGGUAAAACUAAAAUGAUUCUAAUAAUUAGUGUUGUGCUGCUUAGUAUAAGUUUCAAUUUAUCUAGCUAGAGUCCAACACAAUCAAGGAGUUGUACUUGGUAAUAAAUGCAUUUUAGUUGUUUGUUUAAAAAUAGACAUUUACGACUGUAUGUUCAAUUUAGACAUUCUGUGUGUGGAGAAACUAUGUUAGAUGUGUCACAUAUUUGCAUUUAUAAUUUUUUGAUCUUCUGCUAUAUGCUUAUUAGGUUAAUGGAACACGAUGAGGAGCGUUGGAAAAAAUUCAAAGAAAACCAGUGG
rnacentral:lncRNA from 1 species